rnacentral:rRNA from 1 species
AAUUGCCUACGGGGGGCAGCAGUGGGGAAUAUUGCACAAUGGGGGAAACCCUGAUGCAGCAACGCCGCGUGAGUGAAGAAGUAGUUCGGUAUGUAAAGCUCUAUCAGCAGGGAAGAAGAUGACGGUACCUGAUUAAGAAGCCCCGGCUAACUACGUGCCAGCAGCCGCGGUAAUACGUAGGGGGCAAGCGUUAUCCGGAUUUACUGGGUGUAAAUGGAGCGUAGACGGCAUAGCAAGUCUGAAGUGAAAGCCCAAGGCUCAACCAUGGGCCUGCUUUGGAAACUGUUAAGCUUGAGUACUGGAGG